GACGAACGCUGGCGGCGUGCUUAACACAUGCAAGUCGAACGGUAAGGCCCUUCGGGGUACACGAGUGGCGAACGGGUGAGUAACACGUGGGUGAUCUGCCCUGCACUUCGGGAUAAGCCUGGGAAACUGGGUCUAAUACCGGAUAGGACCACUGCCUGCAUGGGUGGUGGUGGAAAGCUUUUGCGGUGUGGGAUGGGCCCGCGGCCUAUCAGCUUGUUGGUGGGGUGAUGGCCUACCAAGGCGACGACGGGUAGCCGGCCUGAGAGGGUGACCGGCCACACUGUGACUGAGAUACGGCCCAGACUCCUACGGGGGGCAGCAGUGGGGAAUAUUGCACAAUGGGCGCAAGCCUGAUUCAGCGACGCCGCGUGAGGGAUGACGGCCUUCGGGUUGUAAACCUCUUUCAGCACCGACGAAGCGCAAGUGACGGUAGGUGCAGAAGAAGGACCGGCCAACUACGUGCCAGCCGCCGCAGUAA
rnacentral:rRNA from 1 species